UCCUUGCUUAUACCUUGAUCUUGGACUUCUGGCCUCCAGAAAUGAACUCACCUGGAGUGUCCAUGCAGGUCAUACUAUUGACAUACUUCUGAAAAAUAGAAUAUAGAGGAAGCAAUGGUAUGUCAUUUGGGAUUAGAUUACAAAGAGACCCUGGCUUCUACCUGGAGAUGCUCCCUAAAUCACUCUUUAAGGGAAACAUCUUCCAUGUUAUAGAGUUUCCCUGUGGAGAGAACCAUGUGGACAAGAAACUGGUGUCUUUGGCUAAUAGCCAGUAAGGACCUGAGACCUGCCAAGAAUUACAUAAAUGUGUUUUUGGAAGGGGAUAUUUAUCUAGCCCAGCCUUGUAUGAUUGGAGAUCCAGCCAACAACUUCAUGGCACCCUUGCAAAGCAUCUUGAUCCUGAGAAAUCCACUUAAACUUUGCCCAGAUUCCUGACCCACAACUUUGGGAUAAUGAAUUUCCGAUGUUUUUAGCCACUAAGCUUUGGUAAUUUUUGUGUGCACUAGAAGGUAACAAAUACAUUUGUUAUAAUGGCAUCUCUCCUUA